GAAGUAUCACCAUGUUGCCUACGCAGGUCUCGAACUCCUGGGCUCAAGCAAUCCUCCUGCCUCAGCCUCCUGAAUAGCCAGGACCACAGGUGAAACAUCCAGGAGCCUCUGAGAGAUGAAGUUUAUGCCCAGGUCACUUUGCUUAUGGUCUUCCAGCUGAGGUGUCAGCCUGGGGUGUUCAGCCCUGAUGGUCUCCUUGCAGCAGAAUUGUGGAUUCCCAAGGACCUCUCCUCCUUCUUCCUGGCUGCUAGAAGAAUAUUCCAGCCAGAGGAAACACUCAUUUGCAAGUACCUUGAGGUGGGAGCACACCUAACAGGAGCUCUUGAGUGAGGCUGCAGUGAAGUGAGUGGGGACAGAGUCACCAGAUGAGAUCAGAGAGUGAUGGGCACCAAAUCAUGUGUGACAUUGCUUUCCUACAAAUCCUGAACUACGUGGUUGCUCUUUGGAUGCCUCCCUCACUCCUAGAAGUCUCUGGCUGAGACCUGCUUUUUCUCCAGGCACUCAUCAAAAUGUAUCUACUUUUUUUUUUUUUGGACACCUUGCUCUUUCACCUAGGCUGGAGUGUAGUGGUCCAAUCUCGGCCCAUUGCAACCUUCACCUCCCAGGUUCAAGCAAUUCUCCUGCCUCAGCCUCCUGAGUACAGGCGCACGCGACUGGGACUACAGGCGCACGCGACUGGGACUACAGGCGCACGCGACUGGGACUACAGGCGCACGCGACUGGGACUACAGGCGCACGCGACCACGCCUGGCUAAUUUUUUGUAUUUUUAGUAGUGACAGGGUUUCACUGUGUUGCCCAGGCUGGUCUCGAACUCCUGAGCUCAGGCAAUCCGCCCGCCUCGGCCUCCCAAAGUGCUAGGAUUACAGGCGUGAGCCACCGCGCCCGGCCAAAAUGUAUCUACUUUUUACCUCUGCUCUCAGGGCCCUACCUUCUUUCCAACAUGGCAGUUACUACAUCAACCAAACCUUGAUAGUGGCUCCAUUUUGAAUACCUCUUAGCAGAGAUGAUAGUCUAAAGAUCUAACAAUUGACUUGGCACAGGCAUGAAUGAAUCAGAAUGGACACUGGUGGAGGCUCUGUGUUUGGAUGGCCCUUUUGUACCAGGUGUUACUCCUUUAGUUGCUGGCUCUUGGGCUAUUCAGGGGGAGCUGGGGGAAGGACUGUUGUGGGUUAGAUGGCAUAGAGAAAGUGCUGGAAGGGUCUCGGAAUAGGUUGCUCUUUGUCAGUUAGAAGUGCUUCAAUACAUUAACAACUGAUACCGCCUCAUGGUGUUGCUUCUGUAACUCUUGAAGGUUUUAUGUUUUAACAGAACACUCCUGCGUUCUUGUUCUUAUUCUAAAAAUAUGCCUUAUUCUAAAAUAAAGAAUAGAACUUUAGGUACAGUAGCAUGGUAAUGAGGAGAGACUUAGACCUGUAAAAUUUUAAAAUUUGUAUAUAGUCAAAAUAAUAGGCUUGUUUAUACUUUUUUUUUGCAUUAGAAGUCCUCUAUUUAUCAGUCAAAUGCUCAUGUAUAUUUUAUUUUUAAUGUUUUUAUAGGUGAAAUUUAUUCUGGUGUAUGGUAAGAUGUGAAGAUAGAAUUUGAAUUUUUUAAAAAAUAGCCAAUUCUCACAACACCAUUAUUGAAAAGUUGUCUUACAUUGACUUCGGUUUUAGGGCUGUCUAUACAAGUCUACUCUCUCUGUCCCGUCUUGCGUUGGCCCCGCACAGUUUUGAUUGUUGUGACUUCGUUAGCCCAUUUGACACUGGAUGAGACAGAAUAGUUCACUUUCACAUUUUCUCAGCUAUUUCUCUGAAUAAACUUUGGUAUAGUUUUGUUAAACUCUGUCUCUCCUGUAAACCCCUACCCCAUCGAUCUGAUUGCUAUUUUUAUUUUUUUACCACUUAAUACUAUCACAUUAUUGCUAUUUUAAUUAAAAUUACAUAAAUGUAAAUAUGAAAGAGGAAAGAAUUGACAUUUUUGCUCUAUUCAGUCUUACCACUUAGAAAUACUAUGUCCAAUAUUUACAUUUAAGCCUUUGUUUAUAUUUCUCAGUAAACUUUGAUAGUUUUCUUGAUAUAUUUCUUUUUGAGUUAUUCAUCAGUACCUGUAUUUUCCUUUUUCUGGUUCAGUUUUGUUACUGAUAUAAUUUUCCCUUUGGUGCCAACUAACUGGUUAUGGUGAAGGUGGGUGCUGGGAUCCUUUGAACUUCAUCGCCUGCUCUCUGCACUGGCAGGUGCUGACAGGUGGUCUCCAUAAUGUUCUCUGGACCACUUUCCCAUAAACAGAUUCUGACAGGAGUGCUCAAAGCCUGAAACUGACUAUGGUGCUUACCAAUGCAUUUUGGCAUAAUGUCCAAUUUGCUUCUGGUGAGCAAAGCUUAAGAGGAAAUAAAAAUAAUUGCCUAUUUUGACU